UACGAAGGGGGCUAGCGUUGUUCGGAUUUACUGGGCGUAAAGCACACGUAGGCGGGUCGUUAAGUCAGGGGUGAAAUCCCGGAGCUCAACUCCGGAACUGCCUUUGAUACUGGCGACCUUGAGGCUGGAAGAGGUUAGUGGAAUUCCCAGUGUAGAGGUGAAAUUCGUAGAUAUUGGGAAGAACACCAGUGGCGAAGGCGGCUAACUGGUCCAGAUCUGACGCUGAGGUGCGAAAGCGUGGGGAGCAAACAGG
rnacentral:rRNA from 1 species